rfam:Clostridium sp. IEH 97212 scaffold_29, whole genome shotgun sequence.
CCGUGCUAGAUGGGGAGUUAGCGGUGCCCUGUAACCUGCAAUCCGCUAUAGCAGGAUUGAAUUCUUCGCCUAGACUUUAACUUGUGGGGUCUGGCCUGUAAAAGUGGUGUUGAUAAUUGGGUCCCACGCAACGGAAAUUCAUGAACUCCGUCAGAUCCGGAAGGAAGCAGCGGUAAGUGAACACUUUCGUGUGCCGUGGAUAAACCUGAUUUGAGCUAACUGUACAGGUAACGCUCAUAAGUUAAUAGACAAAGCGAAGUGCACGG